rnacentral:rRNA from 1 species
CAAGCGUUAAUCGGAAUUACUGGGCGUAAAGCGCGCGUAGGUGGUUCGUUAAGUUGGAUGUGAAAUCCCCGGGCUCAACCUGGGAACUGCAUUCAAAACUGUCGAGCUAGAGUAUGGUAGAGGGUGGUGGAAUUUCCUGUGUAGCGGUGAAAUGCGUAGAUAUAGGAAGGAACACCAGUGGCGAAGGCGACCACCUGGACUGAUACUGACACUGAGGUGCGAAAGCGUGGGGAGCAAACAGG